ensembl:lncRNA
CUUUCCCAUCAUGCACAAUAACUCUAAAUGUUCAAAAAAAAUAUCGUUUUACACGUGAAAUUUGUGGCCUGUAACGUGUGUCAAGUUCACGGAGAAGUUUUUUUUUCCCCCUCAGUAUUAUUAUUUCCACACCAGAGAGCGUCACGCAUUUCAGGACAAGCGGCGCUAGCGCUCAUAACCGGCUGGAAGUGGGAGAGAAAUGCGCGGCCUGUGAGGUGUCUUUAUGUUAGACAAGAAGCAUCACAUGUGUCCUUUUUGGAGAAGACUAUCCCAUAAUAAAACGCAGAAGAGUAGCGCCGCCUACAG